rnacentral:rRNA from 1 species
AAGAGUGGCGAAAGGGUGAGUAACGCGUGAGCAACUUGCCUCCNAGUUGGGAAUAACGUCUGGAAACGGGCGCUAAAACCGGAUGUGAAUAUUUUAUCGCAUGAUUUAAUAUUUAAAAAUUUAUUGCUUGGAGAUGGGCUCGCGUCCCAUUAGCUAGUUGGUGGGGUAAUGGCCUACCAAGGCACCGAUGGGUAGCUGGUCUGAGAGGAUGAUCAGCCACACUGGGACUGAGACACUGCCCAGACUCCUACGGGAGGCUGCAGUCGAGAAUCUUCCGCAAUGGGCGAAAGCCUGACGGAGCAAUGCCGCGUGCAGGAUGAAGGCCUUAGGGUUGUAAACUGCUGUCACCGAGGACGAAAUUUGACGGUACUCGGAGAGGAAGCACCGGCUAACUACGUGCCAGCAGCCGCGGUAAUACGUAGGGUGCAAGCGUUGUUCGGAUUUAUUGGGCGUAAAGGGUCCGCAGGGGGUUUGCUAAGUCUGAUGUGAAAUCCCGUGGCUCAACCACGGAACUGCAUUGGAAACUGGUGAACUAGAGUACUGGAGAGGUAAGCGGAAUUCUUGGUGUAGCGGUGGAAUGCGUAGAUAUCAAGAAGAACACCGAAAGCGAAGGCAGCUUACUGGACAGUCACUGACCCUCAUGGACGAAAGCGUGGGUAGCGA